rnacentral:misc_RNA from 1 species
GUUUUUUGUUGACUANGGGGUGGGGAUCGCGAUACGUGCAGGCGCANGAGNGGUGUUUUGCUUGUGUUGGUUGGUUGGAUCCUUGCUCUGGCAACGACGUCCAUCCUCGCAUGCAUCUUCAGUCGCAUCUCGAGAUAUUUUGUCUCGAGUAUCGUCCCGGUUUCUUGUGUUGGGUACCUUAUACGAUGGUAAUCGAUAGUCCGAAUCUCCCAUUUCGCCUUCCGUUGUCCCUUUCAGGGGCGAUGUGAGGUGAACCACGAAGUGAUCCCUAUGUCCCACUCCGCCCACAUUGAAUUGUGCUCGUGGAUUGGUCCGCAGGUAUUUACUCGAUCUCUUGGAUGCGGUGCAUUACAUACGGGCAUGAGGCCUCACGUCCUCUUUCUGCCCUGACAAAAGCUCCCACGCUUAGUUGCGAACGAUUGCGAUCCCCGUUUCGAGCCUUCUGGCAAGUGCGGUGAUGGCAUCGUUGAGGAAUGCUACCUGGUUGAUCCUG